GAUGAACGCUGGCGGCGUGCCUAAUACAUGCAAGUCGAGCGAAUGGAUUAAGAGCUUGCUCUUAUGAAGUUAGCGGCGGACGGGUGAGUAACACGUGGGUAACCUGCCCAUAAGACUGGGAUAACUCCGGGAAACCGGGGCUAAUACCGGAUAACAUUUUGAACCGCAUGGUUCGAAAUUGAAAGGCGGCUUCGGCUGUCACUUAUGGAUGGACCCGCGUCGCAUUAGCUAGUUGGUGAGGUAACGGCUCACCAAGGCAACGAUGCGUAGCCGACCUGGGAGGGUGAUCGGCCACACUGGGACUGAGACACGGCCCAGACUCCUACGGGAGGCAGCAGGAGGGAAUCUUACGCAAUGGACGAAAGUCUGACGGAGCAACGCCGCGUGAGUGAUGAAGGCUUUCGGGUCGUAAAACUCUGUUGUUAGGGAAGAACAAGUGCUAGUUGAAUAAGCUGACACCUUGACGGUACCUAACCAGAAAGCCACGGCUAACUACGUGCCAGCAGCCGCCGUAA
rnacentral:rRNA from 1 species